GGGCACGUGGUCUAGGGGUAUGACGUCUGCUUCGCACUGCUCCAGUUUACAGGACUUACAUUGUAGGAUUAUCCUGUCGACAGCGCAAUAGUGUAUGCUGAAGGUCCGGGGUUCAAUUCCCCGCGUGUCCA